AUUGAACGCUGGCGGCAUGCCUUACACAUGCAAGUCGAACGGCAGCGCGGACUUCGGUCUGGCGGCGAGUGGCGAACGGGUGAGUAAUACAUCGGAACGUACCCUGUUGUGGGGGAUAACUAGUCGAAAGAUUAGCUAAUACCGCAUACGACCUGAGGGUGAAAGUGGGGGAUCGCAAGGUCUCACGCAGCAGGAGCGGCCGAUGUCUGAUUAGCUAGUUGGUGGGGUAAAGGCCCACCAAGGCGACGAUCAGUAGCUGGUCUGAGAGGACGAUCAGCCACACUGGGACUGAGACACGGCCCAGACUCCUACGGGAGGCAGCAGUGGGGAAUUUUGGACAAUGGGGGCAACCCUGAUCCAGCAAUGCCGCGUGUGUGAAGAAGGCCUUCGGGUUGUAAAGCACUUUUGUCCGGAAAGAAAUCGCGCUGGUUAAUACCUGGCGUGGAUGACGGUACCGGAAGAAUAAGCACCGGCUAACUACGUG
rnacentral:rRNA from 1 species